AUUAGAGUUUGAUCCUGGCUCAGGAUGAACGCUGGCGGUAUGCUUAACACAUGCAAGUCGAACGGAGUACUUCGGUACUUAGUGGCGGACGGGUGAGUAACGCGUGAGAAUCUGCCUUCAGGUUCGGGACAACCACUGGAAACGGUGGCUAAUACCGAAUGUGCAGCAAUGUGAAAUAUUAAUAGCCUGAAGAUGAGCUCGCGUCUGAUUAGCUAGUAGGUGUGGUAAGAGCGCACCUAGGCGACGAUCAGUAGCUGGUCUGAGAGGAUGACCAGCCACACUGGGACUGAGACACGGCCCAGACUCCUACGGGAGGCAGCAGUGGGGAAUUUUCCGCAAUGGGCGAAAGCCUGACGGAGCAAUACCGCGUGAGGGAGGAAGGCUCUUGGGUUGUAAACCUCUUUUCUCAGGGAAUAAGUACUGAAGGUACCUGAGGAAUCAGCAUCGGCUAACUCCGUGCCAGCAGCCGCGGUAAUACGGAGGAUGCAAGCGUUAUCCGGAAUGAUUGGGCGUAAAGCGUCCGCAGGUGGUUUUUCAAGUCUGCUGUCAAAGAAUCUGGCUCAACCAGAUAAAGGCAGUGGAAACUGAACGACUAGAGUAUGGUAGGGGUAGAGGGAAUUCCUGGUGUAGCGGUGAAAUGCGUAGAGAUCAGGAAGAACACCGGUGGCGAAAGCGCUCUGCUGGACCAUAACUGACACUGAGGGACGAAAGCUAGGGGAGCGAAUGGGAUUAGAUACCCCAGUAGUCCUAGCCGUAAACGAUGGAUACUAGGCGUUGCCCGUAUCGACCCGGGCAGUGUCGUAGCCAACGCGUUAAGUAUCCCGCCUGGGGAGUACGCACGCAAGUGUGAAACUCAAAGGAAUUGACGGGGGCCCGCACAAGCGGUGGAGUAUGUGGUUUAAUUCGAUGCAACGCGAAGAACCUUACCAGGGCUUGACAUGUCCGGAAUCUUCUGGAAACGGAAGAGUGCCUACGGGAGCCGGAACACAGGUGGUGCAUGGCUGUCGUCAGCUCGUGUCGUGAGAUGUUGGGUUAAGUCCCGCAACGAGCGCAACCCUCGUUCUUAGUUGCCAGCAAUUCGGUUGGGCACUCUAGGGAGACUGCCGGUGACAAACCGGAGGAAGGUGGGGAUGACGUCAAGUCAGCAUGCCCCUUACGUCCUGGGCGACACACGUACUACAAUGCUGUGGACAAAGGGCAGCAAGCUAGCAAUAGCAAGCAAAUCCCAUAAACCACGGCUCAGUUCAGAUCGCAGGCUGCAACUCGCCUGCGUGAAGGAGGAAUCGCUAGUAAUUGCAGGUCAGCAUACUGCAGUGAAUUCGUUCCCGGGCCUUGUACACACCGCCCGUCACACCAUGGAAGCUGGUCACGCCCGAAGUCGUUACCCUAACCUUUCGAGGAGGGGGACGCCGAAGGUAGGACUGGUGACUGGGGUGAAGUCGUAACAAGGUAACCAAU
rnacentral:rRNA from 1 species